GGGCUCAGAUUUAAAAAAUAAUUAUUAUUAGGGCAAUGAUCAAUAAAUCAUUGUAUUCAGCCCAUGCUGAAGAAAUGGUACUCUUUCAGGGUUGAGAAAUGCCCCACCCCCCUUCUUGGAAGUCAUCCAGCAUUAAAGUUUGCCAUGGUGCAAGCCAAGCAUCCAGGGUGUUGCUAGGCAACCAGGAUGAGAGAUUCCAGGAAAAUGGAGGCCCCAAACUGAGCUAGGGGCAUGCCAUAGCUAAUCCUUCUCCAUAGACCCCUUAUGGGGGUCCCCUUUGCUAUGCUGAUGCCCUAUGCCAUGUCCACCCAAACUGAAGUCAGUCAUACCAAACGCCUAACACAAAUAAGCCUUACUUCGCUGAAGGAAAAAUACAAAUCACCCUGAAUCAAAGUGCUAAUUGAGGCUGGGAUGAACACAUUCCAGUGUUGUCAGCCAGGGACCUGAGUAGUUAAGUGAGGCUUUCAGCCAGUUUCAGAAGAUAUAAGCCCCCAUCAAUGUAUUUGCUAAUGAGCGCAAGGUUGCAGAUGUAGCACAAAGAAUCACUGCACAUCCAAACAAGAUCUAGGAUCAAGAUCAACAAACAGUCAUCAUAGGAAGGUGGUCAGACUAGGUACAACACAGCAAGGAAGCUGGAAUGAGGGGCUAGUAACCCAAGAAUAACAAGCCAGAACCCCUUGUUGUUUCUAGCAACUAGAAAGUUGAAGAGGGAAGACUUAUGUACUCUGGCCACCUAAACUGCACCCUGACCACAAAUGCUGACAUUGAAGGUGUCCAGGGUGGCUUAUUCAUUAGGAGACCGAUGACUCUGGGCGUGUGAUGAUACUGUAUCAUCACCCUUCAGCCUGAACCCAAAGCUUUUGGUAGCACCACUCUCAAAUCCUCCUCCUCCUCCUCUGAGAGUUCCAGGAGUUCCUCAUCAGAUACCAGCAUGAAGAGCCCCUAUGGGGCCUUCAGCACUGGAUUCAGGGGGCCUGCAUGCUUCUCAAGUUCCUUGGCCUAUGAGGUAUCUAGUUCAUCUUCUAAGCUCAGAGCCCCUUUGAUGCAGGACUGAGGGAUUGAGAAUGGCCAGGAAAACUCUGUUCCAUGCAUGGAUGUCCCAGUGUGUAUGCAUUAAAAGGUAAAGGACCCCUGACAGUUAAGUCCAGUCACGGACGACUCUGGGGUUGUGGCACUUAUCUCACUUUACUGGCCAAGGGAGCCGACGUUUGUCCACAGACAGUAUUUCUGGGUCAUGUGGCUAGCAUGACUAAGCUGCUUCUGGCGAAACCAGAGCAGCGCAUGGAAACACCGUUUACCUUCCUGCCAGGGCAGUACCUAUUUAUCUACUUGCAAUUUGACGAGCUUUCGAACUGCUAGGUUGGCAGGGGUUGGGACCGAGCAAUGGAAGCUUACCCCGUUGCGGGGAUUUGAACCGCCAACCUUCCGAUCGGCGAGCCCAAGGCUCAGUGGUUUACACCACAGCGCCACCCAUGUCCUUGUGUAUGCAUUAGUUGGGAUCAAUGAUUGUGGCAAAUUACAGGCAACACAUUGUCAACAUUAAAACUAGACAAGACUGAAUGACUACAGUCUUUGAAAGAAAAUGGUUUGCAUUCAUCAUGAUGUGGAAAGUGAUUGCAAUUUUUUUUAGAAUUACUUCUGGAGGUGUAUUUGUUUUCCUCCUUUCUGGCCACUGGUUUCUAAAAGAAUGAAGGGACUAUAACAAUGCUCCCUACAAAUCUUGAAAUACUAUUUUUGAAGGACAAAGGCUCCAUUGCAUCUUUUCACUAUUUAUUACUCUGUAAAGAUUUAGUGGUAAUAGGUUCCCAGAAUAUUGGAUUGAAAACAUUAAUUUUAAUGGUUAUAAAAAGAUUAGGUUUUUAUAAGCAAUGGCUUUUCCACCAACAUAUUAAUAGCACAAGCAUUCCCACCUCUUUACUGUCUUCAACUCCCCACCAAGGUCAAAGAUUACAUUUAAUUUAAUUUUGUUUUAAUUAUUACCAACUACUUCAUUCCCAAUUAAGUAAAUUGCUACAUGGGUUUCUUUUCAUCAUUACAGUGAUAGGAGACCUUUCUUUCACCCCUCUGGAAACAGUUCCUAUUAUGUAAAAAACAAUCAAACACUGGAAACAUGUUGCUUAAUUGCCGCAGAAUGGUGGAAGAACCUAACAGUACC